GCCAGCAUGGUAUAGUGGUUUAAGUGUUGGACUACUUCUCUGGAGACCAGCGUUCGAAUCCCUGCUCUGCCA